rnacentral:lncRNA from 1 species
UUAGGUUUUUGAAACAACAGGAAGAAAGAGGCCAUUGGUACAAUUCAUAGGCUAGUAUUGAUUGCUAUUCAGAUAGUUAAUAAAGUUAAGUUUCUUUGGUCUAUAACUCAGAGCAUUUUUUAUCUUGUCCUGCAUAAAUUUGCCAUCAUGCACAGCACCCCUCAUCAUUUCUCCAUUUGCUGAUUUUCCUUGCCACAGGCCACACUGUCCACAUAAGAGAAAUUCUUGGAUAGACUUAGUCUACCAUAUAUAGAUAAAGCCAAUUAAAAGAUGCCACAACAGCAUAUAGCGAUAUG